rnacentral:tRNA from 1 species
UGGGGUGUAGCUCAACGGCAGAGCAGAGAGCUGUUAACUCUAAGGUUCCUGGUUCGAAUCCAGGCAUCCCAG